GUCUGCAGCCAUACCACCCUGAACGCAGCAAGUCUCAUCUGACCUGGGAGGCUUAGCAGGGUCAGGCCUCAGUAGUACCUGGAAGGAAAUGAAGCACACAGGAU
rnacentral:rRNA from 1 species